GGAUAAACUUGCGAAAGUGAGGCCAAUACCCCAUAGUUGUUAGAUGCUGGAAUGCACUAACAAUAAAAGCUCCGGCGCCUAAGAAUAGGGCUGCGGCGUAUCAGGCUGUUGUGAGUUUAAAAUACUCACAAACCUAUAACGCGUAGGGGCCAUGAGAGUGGGAGCCCCGAGAUGCCUUCUGAGACAUGAAGGCAGGUCCUACGGGACGCAGCAGGCGCGAAAACUUUCCAACUCAUUAACGUGUGAGAAGGGAAGCCUGAGUGCUUAUGCAUUGCAUAAGCUUUUAUCUAGCCUAAAAAGCUAGGUGAAUAAGUGGUGGGUAAGACAGGUGCCAGCCGCCGCGGUAAUACCUGCGCCACAAAUAGUGAUCACGAUUAUUGGGUCUAAAGCGUCCGUAGCCGGUUUAGCAAGUUCCUGGUGAAAUCUGGCAGCAAACUGUCAGGCAUGCUGGGAAUACUACUAGACUUGAGAUUGGGAGAGGUCAGAGGUAUUCCAUGGGUAGGGGUUAAAUCCUUUAAUCCAUGGAGGACCACCGGUGGCAAAGGCGUCUGACUGGAACAAGUCUGACGGUAGGGACGAAAGCGUGGGGAGCAAAGCGGAUUAGAUACCCGUGUAGUCCACGCUGUAAACGAUGUCCGCUUGAUGUGACAAAUCUUACGUGGAUUUGUUGUGUCGGAGCGUAGGUGUUAAGCGGACCACCUGGGGACUACGGCCGCAAGGCUGAAACUUAAGGGAAUUGGCGGGGGAACACACAAGAGGUGGAGACUGCGGUUCAAUUGGAUUCGACGCCGAGAAACUCACUAGGGUUGACAGCAGAAUGAAGGUCAGGCUAAUGGUCUUACCAGACAAGCUGAGAGGUGUUGCAUGGCCAUCGUCAGCUCGUACCUUGAGGCGUGCCGUUAAGUCGGUUAACGAGCGAGACCCACACUAUCAUUUGCUACCACACUUUACCAAGAGCAAUCUGAAGUAAAUUGUGAGCACUAUGAUAGGACCGCUAUUGAUAAAAUAGAGGAAGGAGUGGGCAACGAUAGGUCCGUAUGGCCCGGAUACCCUAGGCUACACGCGGUCUACAAUGGUUGGGACAAUGCGAUGCGACUCCGAAAGGAGAAGCCAAUCGCCUAAACCCAAUCUUAGUCCGGAUUGAGGGCUGUAAUUCGCCCUCAUGAAGCUGAAAUCUCUAGUAAGCGAACGUCAUCAUCGUUCGCUGAAUACGUCCCUAUUCUUUGCACACACUGCCUGUCAAACCAUGCGAGUGGAUUCUUGGUGAGGCUCUACAUUUAAUAGAUUCGAGCCAGGGGUCCGCGAGUGGGGUUAAGUCAUAACAAGGUA
rnacentral:rRNA from 1 species